rnacentral:rRNA from 1 species
GACGAACGCUGGCGGCGUGCUUAACACAUGCAAGUCGAACGGUAAGGCCCUUCGGGGUACACGAGUGGCGAACGGGUGAGUAACACGUGGGUGAUCUGCCCUGCACUUCGGGAUAAGCCUGGGAAACUGGGUCUAAUACCGGAUAGGACCACUGCCUGCAUGGGUGGUGGUGGAAAGCUUUUGCGGUGUGGGAUGGGCCCGCGGCCUAUCAGCUUGUUGGUGGGGUGAUGGCCUACCAAGGCGACGACGGGUAGCCGGCCUGAGAGGGUGACCGGCCACACUGGGACUGAGGUACGGCCCAGACUCCUACGGGAGGCAGCAGUGGGGAAUAUUGCACGAUGGGCGCAAGCCUGAUGCAGCGACGCCGCGUGAGGGAUGACGGCCUUCGGGUUGUAAACCUCUUUCAGCACCGACGAAGCGCAAGUGACGGUAGGUGCAGAAGAAGGGCCGGCCAACUACGUGCCAGCAGCCGCCGUAAUAC